CACGGGGGGAGCAAGCGUUGUUCGGAAUCACUGGGCGUAAAGGGCGUGUAGGCGGUUAGGUAAGUGGGGUGUGAAAGCCCCCGGCUCACCCGGGGACCUGCAUUCCAAACUGCCUGACUUGAGUAUGGGAGAGGAUAGGGGAAUUCCUGGUGUAGCAGUGAAAUGCGUAGAGAUGUGGAGGAACACCGAUGGCGAAGGCAGCCUCCUGGGCCAGCACUGACGCUCAUGCACGAAAGCGUGGGGAGCAAACAGG
rnacentral:rRNA from 1 species